CAAAAGCUGAGCAGACAAUUAACUCCGAGGAAAUGUCUGUGGCACAUGCUGAAUGGGCAGGCAGCAGGGAACGGGUGCGGAUGACAGGUGUCAGGCGGACAGCUUUCCUUUGGCAAAAUGUUGUUUUGGAUGCCUGCCUGGACAUAGCCAAGAAACCCAAGUAAAAGAGCAGAUCGUGAUGGGUGGAGCACCAUAUCCUGCCAUAUUUGAUUUUGUCUCCUGCUCCUCUGCUUUGCGGUCACCUCAGCCAUUCCCCAGGACCACAACAUAUGCUUCAGCUUUCCUCAGGUAACAGAGAGCUCUUUAUUUUAGCUCAAGAGCCUGAUCCCACUUAUACCUCUCCUAUGUCUGGUUUUGCCAUAAAUCCAGAAUGAUAACCCCACUGUACUGACAUAUUCACAAGAGGGACAUCAACAUUAUUUGUGGAGGAGUGGCACAAAAAUAAGACGUGGAAAUGCGUGGAGCUGAAAUCAGGUAAGAUUCACUUGGGAAAGAAAUGCAGUUUUGGAAAACCACUUCCAGUUCAAGAUACGGGA
rnacentral:lncRNA from 1 species